AGCCGCCUUAACUGCGGCUGAUGAACCGGUUGUGUAGCCGGACGCCAGAGGGGAGCCGCCGGAGAGGGGAGGCAACGGUCAUCGACCCACUCGGCAGUGCCACGUCCCGCAGUCGCGUCAAACCCUAUCAGCACGACACCAGCGCACGCGCAGCUACCUAUUUACAAUAUUUCCGCAUACGAUAACCAGUUACUUUGUGCUGUCAAUAAACAUUUAACUACAGUCCGCUGUUUGAUUCGCCACCAUAUGGUCCUUCUCACCUUGUCUACAUGAAAUAGCGACCAGCAGUACAAAGGAACAAAGAAAGUUAACGGACCUAUACCGGCCACGUAACAUUCUUCGAGUUGUCGCCUGAAUCCUUCAAGUCGUCGUGCCUGCCAAGUCGAGUGCGUUCUGAAGGUCUUGGAUUUACCGCCUGCAGCCAUCCACCAAAUCAGGGACCACUUGGAGGGUCAUCGGGAUUGCGGAUCAUCAACUUCGGUUGCGCGUGAUCAGCAUCAACGCACACGAUUCGUCGGGACGAGUUGGAGAUGUUGGCGGACGACCCCGACGAGCAAUAUGCGGAACGCGAAGAAUUUGAUAAACUAUACUGCAGUCUAGUGGCUACUGCUCGCCAGAUGAUCACUAUCGCGCGCAGAGAGUUGAAUGCAGACAUCGCGUCCGAGCGCUCGUGAACGUGGUGGAUACUAACGGAAAGCUCCAUACCGCACGGGUCUUGCUGGACAACGGGAGCACAGCCAACUUUGUUUCAGAGGAUUUCUGCCGUAAGCUGCACCUUUGUACUUUGAAUACCAAAUCCAGAGUGUUUGGCAUCAAUAAUCAGUCUUCAAACUGCACAAAAUCAUGCAAUUUUAAAUUACAGUCAUUAGAUAAGGUAUACGAAGUCAACAUAGAAUGCUUUGUAUUAUCUAAAAUAAGUACUAAGCUACCAUCAACUUAUGUUGACACAAGGAGCUUUCAAAUACCUACUGGCAUUCGUCUUGCCGAUCCUACUUUCAAUUGUCCGUCUUCAGUCGACAUCUUAGUUGGCGCAGAAAUAUUUUGGGAAAUUUUAGGCGCGAAUCGUAUCAGUUUAGGAAAGAACAAACCUUCUUUAUUUGAAUCUAAGUUAGGCUAGUUGAUUUCCGGCUUAUUUAUAAACUCAAAUCAUAAUAAUGACUCUUCUUCUCCCGUGUGCAUGUUUUCAGACAACACACUAUCAGAUUUGUCUCGAUUUUGGGAGCUUGAUUCUAUUUCUUCAAAACACAAACUCACUCCCGAAGAGAAGCGCUGUGAGCAGAUAUUUGUGGAUACCACGUAUCGAGAAUCUGAUGGUCGUUUCGUGGUGACUUUACCCCUCAAAGAGCCACCCACCAUUCUAGGUGACUCUUACAACAUGGCCAGGCAUAGGUUUAUCUCUUUAGAACGUAGAUUACAAGAAAAUCCAAUUCUUCAGAAACUCUAUUUUGACUUCAUGCGUGAGUACAUAGAGCUAGGUCAUAUGACUGAAAUUAAUUCUUUUGAUUGGAACUCUACAGAGCCAUCUUAUUACUUGCCACAUCAUGGAGUCAUGAAGGAGUCGAGUUCCACUACGAAACUGCGUGUCGUAUUUGACGCGUCUGCAGUUACUACGUCGGGAAAGUUUCAACGACAUCCAAAUGAUAGGAGCCACUCUUGAAGACGAUUUACAAUCGAUUCUUCUUCGAUUCCGCCAGCAUAAAAUUGCAGUGUCAGCGGAUAUUCAGAAAUUCUAUAGACAGCAUCUUGUCACGUCUUCACAACGAUAUCUGCAACAGAUACUAUGGAGAGAAAGCCCUAGGACACCGUUGAAAACAUACGUACUUAAUACAGUCACCUACGGUACGGCAUCUGCACCUUUUCUCGCAACUAGGUGUCUGUUACAACUAGCGCAUGAUUGUAAUAACAAAGCCAUUCAAUUUACAAUCGAACAUGAUUUUUAUGUUGAUGAUUAUUUAUCAGGUUCAUCAUCUGUCGAAGAGGUGAUACAUCAGUGUCGUGAAGUUAUCGCUGUCUUACAAUCAGCUCAGUAUAAUCUACGUAAGUGGCAUUCUAAUUCCGUGGAAGUCGUGCAGCACUUUCAUGGAAUUAAUUGUGAUACACAAGGCUCUGUUGAUCUAAGCUAUAACUUUAACAAGAUUUCUAAAACAUUAGGCCUCAACUGGAAAUUAUUUAAUGACACAUUUUAUUUUACAAUUAAUUUGCUGUCAAAUUGAGU